AUUGAACGCUGGCGGCAGGCUUAACACAUGCAAGUCGAGCGGGGUGAUGGUGCUUGCACUAUCACUUAGCGGCGGACGGGUGAGUAAUGCUUAGGAAUCUGCCUAUUAGUGGGGGACAACAUCUCGAAAGGGAUGCUAAUACCGCAUACGUCCUACGGGAGAAAGCAGGGGAUCACUUGUGACCUUGUGCUAAUAGAUGUGCCUAGGUCGGAUUAGCUAGUUGGUGGAGUAAAGGCCUACCAAGGCGACGAUCUGUAGCGGGUCUGAGAGGAUGAUCCGCCACACUGGGACUGAGACACGGCCCAGACUCCUACGGGAGGCAGCAGUGGGGAAUAUUGGACAAUGGGGGGAACCCUGAUCCAGCCAUGCCGCGUGUGUGAAGAAGGCCUUAUGGUUGUAAAGCACUUUAAGCGAGGAGGAGGCUCUUUUGGUUAAUACCCAAGAUGAGUGGACGUUACUCGCAGAAUAAGCACCGGCUAACUCUGUGCCAGCCGCCGCAGUAA
rnacentral:rRNA from 1 species